GUUAAAUUUCAUUGCGUUACUUGCGCGAGUGAAGUGGUGACACGAGCAAUGAUAGCUUAGCCGCGUCGCAACUAUUUGCAUGAAAAUCCGGACACUAGUGUUCGCAAUUCGCAAACGUCACUGACAGCAACAUGGCGUCGAAAAAAAACUUGUGGUCAUAGCUGCAAUGCUUUUGCUGGAAGAAGAUGACGAGGAGGUUAAAGAAAAGAAACGUAUUUGGAGCCGGCACUGGCUUCUAGAGAGAAAAAACAAAGGUUAUUUCGGUCAGCUUCUUCCCGAUCUGGCUGCCCACGACACACCAGGAUUUGAAAAAUUUAUGCGAAUGGAUUUUGAUCAUUUCAAAAAGAUAUUUGAUAAUCUAUCUGAAACGCUUUACAAGAAAGACACAAUAAUCGCUUCGAUAUUUGGCAGCGCUACAGCACGCUGUCCGUACAGAAGCGAAUUUCAUUGGCUAUCUUAAAAUAGCCCAUGCGUUUCCUGCUC